CACGUAGGGCGCAAGCGUUGUCCGGAAUUAUUGGGCGUAAAGAGCUCGUAGGCGGUCUGUUGCGUCCGCUGUGAAAUCUCGGGGCUUAACCCCGAGCCUGCAGUGGAUACGGGCAGACUAGAGGUAGGUAGGGGAGAAUGGAAUUCCAGGUGUAGCGGUGAAAUGCGUAGAUAUCUGGAGGAACACCGGUGGCGAAGGCGGCAUCCUGGACCAACACUGACGCUGAGGAGCGAAAGCCAGGGGAGCAAACGGG
rnacentral:rRNA from 1 species